AACGAACGCUGGCGGCAGGCCUAACACAUGCAAGUCGAACGAGAAGCCACCUUCGGGUGGUGGAUAGUGGCAGACGGGUGAGUAACGCGUGGGAACGUGCCUUUCGGUUCGGGAUAACCCAGGGAAACUUGGGCUAAUACCGGAUACGCCCUCCGGGGGAAAGAUUCAUUGCCGAAAGAUCGGCCCGCGUCGGAUUAGCUAGUGGGUGGGGUAAAAGCCUACCAAGGCGACGAUCCGUAGCUGGUCUGAGAGGAUGACCAGCCACACUGGGACUGAGACGCGGCCCGGACUCCUGCGGGAGGCAGCAGUGGGGAAUAUUGGACAAUGGGCGCAAGCCUGAUCCAGCCAUGCCGCGUGGGUGAAGAAGGCCCUAGGGUUGUAAACCCCUUUCAGCGGGGAAGAUAAUGACGGUACCCGCAGAAGAAGCCCCGGCUAACUCCGUGCCAGCCGCCGCGGUAACAC
rnacentral:rRNA from 1 species